rnacentral:rRNA from 1 species
GACGAACGCUGGCGGCGUGCUUAACACAUGCAAGUCGAACGGAAAGGCCCUGCUUUUGUGGGGUGCUCAAGUGGCGAACGGGUGAGUAACACGUGAUUAACCUGCCCUUGACUUUGGGAUAACUUCAGUAAACUGGGGCUAAUACCGGAUAGGAGCUCCUGCUGCAUGGUGGGGGUUGGAAAGUUUCGGCGGUUGGGGAUGGACUCGCGGCUUAUCAGCUUGUUGGUGGGGUAGUGGCUUACCAAGGCUUUGACGGGUAGCCGGCCUGAGAGGGUGACCGGCCACAUUGGGACUGAGAUACGGCCCAGACUCCUACGGGAGGCAGCAGUGGGGAAUAUUGCACAAUGGGCGGAAGCCUGAUGCAGCAACGCCGCGUGCGGGAUGACGGCCUUCGGGUUGUAAACCGCUUUCGCCUGUGACGAAGCGUGAGUGACGGUAAUGGGUAAAGAAGCACCGGCUAACUACGUG